CCUACGGGAGGCAGCAGUGGGGGAUAUUGGACAAUGGGGGGAACCCUGAUCCAGCGACGCCGCGUGAGUGAAGAAGUAUCUCGGUAUGUAAAGCUCUAUCAGCAGGGAAGAAGAAAUGACGGUACCUGACCAAGAAGCCCCGGCUAACUACGUGCCAGAAGCCGCGGUAAUACGUAGGGGGCAAGCGUUAUCCGGAAUUACUGGGGGUAAAGGGAGCGUAGACGGCUGUGCAAGUCUGGAGUGAAAGGCGGGGGCCCAACCCCCGGACUGCUCUGGAAACUGGAUGGCUGGAGUGCAGGAGAGGUAAGCGGAAUUCCUAUUGUAGCGGUGAAAUGCGUAGAUAUUAGGAGGAACACCAGUGGCGAAGGCGGCUUACUGGACUGUAACUGACGUUGAGGCUCGAAAGCGUGGGGAGCAAACAGGAUUAGAUACCCCAGUAGUC
rnacentral:rRNA from 1 species